rnacentral:rRNA from 1 species
UUCCGGUUGAUCCUGCCGGAAGUCACUGCUAUCGGGGUUCGAUUAAGCCAUGCGAGUCGAGAGGGUUCGGCCCUCGGCGUACUGCUCAGUAACACGUGGAUAACCUGCCCUAGGGAAGGGGAUAACCCCGGGAAACUGGGGAUAAUACCCUAUAGGUUACAGAUGCUGGAAUGCUCUGUAACCCAAAGUUCCGGCGCCCUAGGAUGGAUCUGCGGCCGAUUAGGUUGUUGUUGGGGUAAUGGCCCAACAAGCCAGUAAUCGGUACGGGUUGUGGGAGCAAGAGCCCGGAGUUGGAUUCUGAGACACGAAUCCAGGCCCUACGGGGCGCAGCAGGCGCGAAAACUUUACAAUGCGGGCAACCGUGAUAAGGGAACCUCGAGUGCUGUAAAUGCAGGCUGUUUAGGUGUUUAAAACGCACCUGGAGAAAGGGCCGGGCAAGACCGGUGCCAGCCGCCGCGGUAAUACCGGCGGCUCGAGUGGUGGCCACUUUUAUUGGGCUUAAAGCGUUCGUAGCUGGGUUGUUAAGUCUCUUGGGAAAUCUGGCGGCUUAACCGUCAGGCGUCUAAGGGAUACUGGCAAUCUUGGAACCGGGAGAGGUGAGGGGUACUUCGGGGGUAGGAGUGAAAUCCUGUAAUCCUCGAGGGACCACCUGUGGCGAAGGCGCCUCACCAGGACGGCUUCGACAGUGAGGGACGAAAGCUGGGGGAGCAAACCGGAUUAGAUACCCGGGUAGUCCCAGCCGUAAACUAUGCGCGUUAGGUGUAUCGGUGACCACGAGUUACCGAGGUGCCGAAGGGAAACCGUGAAACGUGCCGCCUGGGAAGUACGGUCGCAAGGCUGAAACUUAAGGAAUUGGCGGGGGAGCACCA